rnacentral:rRNA from 1 species
GACUGUGCUAAGGUAGCAUAAUCAUUUGCCUUAUAAUUGAAGGCUAGUAUGAAAGGUUUGACGAAAGUUAAGCUGUCUUUUUUUUGAGUAAAAUGAAAUUAACUUACAGGUGCAAAGGCCUGUAUCUAACUAAAAGACAAGAAGACCCUAUUGAGCUUUAUAAAAAUAUAGUAGUAUAAAAUAUAUAACUGAGAUUUUAAUCUAUUAAGAUUUUUAGUUGGGGCGACUUAGGAACAAUAGUAGCUUCCUAGAGUUAAAAAUACUUAAUAAGUUUUUUAUCCAAAAGGUUUUGAUUAUCAGAAUUAGUUACCAUAGGGAUAACAGCAUAAUCUUUCUUAGGAGCUCUAAUCGAAAGAAAGGAUUGUGACCUCGAUGUUGGACUAGGA